GGAUCUGAAGGCGAUCUGGGCAUGACAUAUGUCACCCCAUUGAUCGCCAUAGUUGAUUCUGCUGAUCUGACUGGCUAGGUGUUCCCUUACCCCCACACUACUCUACAUGUGUUCCCCCUGAAGCUGCAAUCUGCACCAAUGAGGAAGACCUUUCCAGCAUAGAGGAGCAAUGACUUUGGUUAAAGGGUAUACAAGUAGCUGCACUCCCCUGCUAGAAACUCCAAACAAGGAUCAAAUGGGGGAAUCACCAUCACUGACUUCAAGCUGUUCUAUAGAGCUUGGUAU
ensembl:misc_RNA 7SK 7SK RNA